GAUUUGGACUCAGACUCAGUCUCCCAGCCCAUUAGCGUCAAGAUAAAGUUGCCUUCCAGACUCUUUGGUACAGUCUUCCAUUUGAUUUGAUAUUGGUUUUCUGCAACAGUAUCAGGGCAUUUGAAGAAGCAGAAGCCUCUUACAGUCUUGGGCUUGAGCAGAGAAUUCUUUUCAUCACUGAGCCUGUCUGGAAAUUCUAGGGGGGCCAGCAGAAUGCUGUUGAAGAAAUGAAGUUACUGCUAUAUGCAAGAUGAAGGCACUGAGGUUUAUAUAACAAUACUAUAGAUGUGUAUCACUGACAAAUCCGGAGCAGACAGUAAAUACAUGGGUUUAAUGGAGACUUGGAAAUAAAAAAGAGUUUAAA